CCCAAAAUGUGAAAGCUUGGCGUUUGAGGAAGCAGCAGGAAGCUUUCUCUGACUCCCUCACCACCUUUCUCCCCUACAGCAGGUCAUGAAACCUGGGAUGUUCUGACCUUUCCCUGAGGUAGAUCGCAAGCCCCUCACUGGAGAGGUACUCUCUUUAUACCUAGAGGAAAGGAGCGCCACUAUCUCUGAAGACACUGGGUGACAGAGAAGAAACUAAACAGACCGGCCUUGCUGACCUCCCCCAGGUUACUGCCAAAGAUCACACUUCUCCGUGACCACCCACUUCAUCAGAGUAGCAAAAACCACACAGGCUUCCCUGCUUGAGCCUUCCUUUCCUUAUGAAGGCUCCUGUCUCAGGAGCAUUUCCAUGAGCCCUGGGCUGUGGGCUAUGGCUGAGGUGAAGACCAGUGCGAACAGUCGAGGAGAAAU
rnacentral:lncRNA from 1 species